GGAGAUCCAGGAGGGAGGCAGCUGGGAGUUUAUUCUCUUGGGCUAAAGCCAGGACCAGAGGAUCCUAAGACAGAAAGAAGCCUACAGGCAGCGAAGCCUGGGGCUAGCGUGUUAAGAAGAAUGUCUGUCUGUAUCGCAAGGGGAUGUGGAGCUCAUUUUAAUCCUGCUUGGUCUUUCUGCUGUGAAUGCUGUACUCAUUAAGGGCCCCGAUCCAAUGCCCGUUAAAGUCAACAGGCAACUUUCCAUGGACUUUCGCAGGAGUUGAAUCUGACCCACAAAGAACCUGACCUGGGGAAGCGUUUUGAUUUGGACAGAACUGCACAUCCCAACCGGCUACGGUUUGGUCCGUGUUUCUCUGCCCAGCUGCAGUCCUGACUGCGGUGACUUGGAUUUGAAAGGCAUUCCACCGAGUUGUGAGUUCCCCACGCUUCUGAUCCAAAGACUCUCCCAUACCAUUGACCUCCAUUGACGCAUGACUUGCACAUCAGGAUGUAGACCGUUACCUGACAUGAGAUGAAACCCUAAAGUCUUGCAUGAGUGCUGCACGUUGGGACGGGACCUUUUCUCACAUGCCGCAUGGGGAGAACCCCCCUGUAUUUAUCCACUGGGAUAUUCUUGGGGGCUAACUAGCAGACAAAAGGGCAGUGGGCCAUUAGCUGGAGAGGUCCGUGGGGGUGCGAUUGAAGGUGGCACAAAGGAAUGGCACACAACACAGCAGUGGGGCCCUUCUGGAGUGUCUGACUGUGUGUAAGAGACAGGGGUUGAAUAACCAGACUGUCCUCCUUGGCCAACUCGCUUUUCGAUUUCCCCGUUGCUCUGGGGCAUGCGUGACAGCUGCGCAGCUAAGAGGGCCUUAGCAGCUGCUUGUGCCAUCUUGAAGGGGGCUGGUAAAACCUCAGUGGCUUCGGGAAGUAUGGGCAGCCAGGCACGCUGCUCCCACCUUGCAGUGCAGAUGGCACCAGGCCCUGCGGGGGUCUCCCCUCCCCUGCGCUGGCUCGGAGCAGAGUGGCAGGCUGGCAGCUUGGAGUGAGCAAGAGA